UCCACAUUUUGACCUCAUUGUCUGUGGUACAAACUUCUCAUCAACUUCUUCCUACUCGCAUUUUUCCCAUUAAGAGGUUGGAAAGAGUUCAACUUCGAUUUUAUGGACCGUCCCAGGUCUGCUGUGGCAAGCAAUUAGAAGAUUCCAUAAGUGAACAAAAACUUUCUACUGCUUCCUCAUGACUAGUUCCCCUUGUAAC